AUAAGGGCACAAGAUCUACCAUUGACUGACUUUGUGGACCAAAAGAUAGUUGUAGUUGGAGCUGGAAGUGCAGGGCUUGGUGUUUUUAACAUGGUUGCACAAGGCUGUUUCAAGAAUGGCAGGAGCUGGAGCAAAUCCUCUGUCUUUCCUACUUGAUAAAGAUGUGUGGUUCUACAGGGUCUCAUUACAACAGAACGGAAGGGUGUUGAUCCAGCAGCUGCACCAUUUGCUAAAACCCCUUGGGAGAUCGAGGGUUUGGGACUUAGGGAGGGAGCAAAUCUCGUUAAAGUGGUAAAUCUUACUGGAGUGUUUUUUGACAGCCUAUGUUGAUGCAAGGCUGAUAUAGAUUGAUAUUGUGUGGAAAAGAAACCUUCGGUUAUUUAGCUUGCUUCUUGGGUUAAAAAAGUCAAGCCUCAUAUACUUCUUGGUUUGUUUGGAAUUGGUGGUGUCUUCAAUGAGCAGGUGGACAAGUUUGCUUUGUCCUUCAUUACUUUCAAAUGACGCAUAAUGAAUCAGUGAAGUUGGCUUAGUUUUAUUUGGAAAGGCAUGUUGUUCUGUACUAUUUAUUUGGUUAGAUGUUGAUAAAUGGUAUUAGUUGG